AGCAGCCGCGGUAAUUCCAGCUCCAAUAGCGUAUAUUAAAGUUGUUGCAGUUAAAAAGCUCGUAGUUGAAUUUCGGGAUCAGCAGGUCGGUCGUGCCACUGGUAUGCACUGGCCUUGCUGACUCCUCCCUCUUGAUGAGCCGUAAUGCCAUUAAUUUGGUGUUGCGGGGAAUCAGGACUGUUACUUUGAAAAAAUUAGAGUGUUUAAAGCAGGCAUGCGCUUGAAUACAUUAGCAUGGAAUAAUGAAAUAGGACGUUCGAUCCUAUUUUGUUGGUUUCUAGGAUUGACGUAAUGAUUAAUAGGGAUAGUUGGGGGCAUUAGUAUUCAAUUGUCAGAGGUGAAAUUCUUGGAUUUAUUGAGGACUAACUACUGCGAAAGCAUUUGCCAAGGAUGUUUCAUAAUCAAGAACGAAAGUUAGGGGAUCGAAGACGAUCAGAUACCGUCGUAGUCUUAACCGUAAACUAUGCCGACUAGGGAUCGGAUGAUGUUAAUUUUUUAAUGACUCAUUCGGCGCCUUACG
rnacentral:rRNA from 1 species